AAAGGAAUAGACGGGGGCCCGCACAAGCGGUGGAGCAUGUGGUUUAAUUCGAAGCUACGCGCAGAACCUUACCUGGGUUUGACAUCCUUAGAAUCCUUCCGAAAAGUUGGAGUGCCCUUCGGGGAGCUAAGAGACAGGUGCUGCAUGGCUGUCGUCAGCUCGUGUCGUGAGAUGUUGGGUUAAGUCCCGCAACGAGCGCAACCCUCGUCUUCAGUUACCAUCGGUUCGGCCGGGGACUCUGGAGAUACUGCCGGUGUGAAACCGGAGGAAGGUGGGGAUGACGUCAAGUCCUCAUGGCCCUUACGCCCAGGGCUACACACGUGCUACAAUGGACGGUACAAAGCGCAGCCAACUCGCGAGAGUGAGCAAAUCGCAUAAAGCCGUUCUCAGUUCGGAUAGGAGUCUGCAACUCGACUCCUUGAAGUCGGAAUCGCUAGUAAUCGUGGAUCAGAAUGCCACGGUGAAUACGUUCCCGGGCCUUGUACACACCGCCCGU
rnacentral:rRNA from 1 species